GCCGCUACUACUACUAUCGUUAUCUAAGAGUUCGUACUCUUGCCUAACUCUUUCUGCCAUUUCUUUGGCAUGCAUUAUGACACCAGCAAAGCGCGCAAAAGCACCCCAUGCUUCCGAAGAGUCAAGAAUCUCAGGUAUUAUUGUAUGUAACGCUAUAUUAUUAUUAUUAUUAUUAUUAUUAUUAUCGAUGUUUAGAGCUAUACCAAGAGUUUCCCGUUCUGCUACCCAGACUGAAUAUUCUUGAAGGUUCUUAUGUUCUUAUGUUCUUAGGUUCUUAUGUUCGGCGGAAUCUUUUAUGUCCUCUCCGUAGUUCACAAUCCGGCAUUGGGACUUUAUCGAUUCUGUGUAGAUAUGUUCCAAAGCACCAGUGUCCUGUCAAGAGCUGGGUGAUUUGGAACGACAAACUGCCAUGUUUUCUAUUUAACCAAGGAUUUAGAUGGGGAGUCAGCGCAUCUCUGAUACGUACGCCGGACAAAUUGGAAUUUUGCAGUUUUACAGUUGAUAAUCCUGCUACCGCCGGCCUCGUCACCGUCCCGUCGUCAUCGCCGCUACUUCCAUUGCCGCUGAUUCCGUCGCCGCUAAUCCUAUCGCAGCCGUUAUUGCCGACCGCAUGGCCGUUAAUCCAGUCACUGCCAGCUUUAUAGUCACUGCCGCUGAUUCUGUAGCCAACCCUAUCGCCGGCCACAUCGCCGCUGAUCCCAUCACUGGCCGCAUCGCCGCCGAUUCCAUCACCGGCCGCAUCGCCUGUUGACCCUAUUGCCACUGAUAAAAUACAGAUAAAAAUAAAAUUAAUAUUUACUUAGAUAUAUCAAAAACAUUGUUACGUCCGUCUUCUGCUUGUUCGUCCCUGCAUGUCGCCUGUGGUAGUGUGCUGUACCGUCUCCAUAAAGAAGAUUCCUUAACGCUAAGGGAGAUGUUAUAAUAACAACAGCUGACAUUUUGAUAUUUUGAGCCGCCAUUGGAGUCCCGCGGCGGAUUUGAUUCCGAGCGGAUGUUUCCGCUGUUGAUCCCGCUUUUCUUUACAAAUGAGAUUAUCAGUUACGCAUUGUUCUGUGUUCUAUAUUUUGUGUUGGAUUAAAUUCCCUUCGUUUCUUAUAAUCAGUGUUAUUAUUUAUGACGCGGAGCGUGUGUGAUGAUUGUGUCGUGCGCGAUUCGAUUAUUCUCAAAGUCGUCGCGCGGACAUAACAAUAUAUUAAAAUAUUACUAAUAUCGUUGCCUAAUAUUGUUGUAUAUUAUCAAAUAUUCACGAUCAAUCAAAUAUUGACGAUAUUAGGCAACAUAAUAUUUUAAUAUACUUUUGUUAUAUACCUAAGUAAAUAUUAAUUUUAUUUUUAUCUGAAUUUUAAAGCUCGAAGAUCAAGAGAUAAAGCUUCAAGAAUUUACCGCCAACAAGAACACUUCAUGAAAUUCUUGUAUCAACUGUAUCUCGUUAUUCAUGAUACAUAAGAAGAAGAGGACGAGGAAAAGAACUGUAAGAAAACAAUCAAAUUAAAAACUAAAAAAAUUA